GAUGAAGAACGUAGCGAAAUGCGAUACGUAGUGUGAAUUGCAGAAUUCAGUGAAUCAUCGAAUCUUUGAACGCACAUUGCACCUCUCGGUAUUCCGGGAGGUAUGCCUGUUCGAGCGUCAUUUGUACCCUCAAGCUCUGCUUGGUGUUGGGUGUUUGUUCCGCCUCUGUGUGUGAACUCGCCUCAAAACAAUUGGCAGCCGGCGUACUUGUUUCGGAGCGCAGCACAUUUUGCGAUCAAGAUCAACGUACAGCGGCAUCCAAGAAGCCUUAUUUAACGCUCUUGACCUCGGAUCAGGUAGGGAUACCCGCUGAACUUAAGCAUAUCAAUAAGCGGAGGA
rnacentral:misc_RNA from 1 species